GGGUCUGCAUGACCCAGUUGGGAACAAGGAUCCCAUGUUGAUUGACUCCCCACCUUGACAAGUAUCUUGUUGUUGGGAUGACCAGCAUGUGACUAUUGGGACAAGAUAGAAGUAUUUACAAAGCCAACAGUUUUGACCAAUUUAUGCGAAUUAGGGCAGAUUUGAGAGUACACUUAAGAGUUUUAAACUUUGUUUGAAAAAACAAAAAACAGUGUUCUUGGAAUAGUUUCUUUGGAGUAGAGCGCAUAAGGCCAAAUUUUAUCUGAUUGUUGGUGAGCACCUGUGGGUUUUUGUGUUCCUUAUGUAGUAUCCCUUAGGUUUGGGUCGAACAAUGUAAACCUUAUCAUUUCCACUGUUUUUAACAUCUCAAAUGAUGUCCCACGUCCUAGGUGCCAAUCCACAAAUGCCCACUCCUACAUCUUCUCCCUCCUCCCUCCAUUUUGCCACUAUGAUGCUGCUCUAAACUCACCCAACUUUUCGAAACCCACCACUCCAGCCUCCUCCUACGUUCGAGCAUCACAUCUCCACAGGACCAAGGGCCUUCCAUCCCAUUGGUUUCAAAUAAUGCCAUCCUCUGAUAUAUAUUGGUUGGUGGUCUAUUUUCUGGGAAGCUCUGGGUCAUCAGCCAGCAUAUAUUGUUCUUCCUCUAUUGCAGGACCUCUCUGUCACAGGACAUCCACUGUUUAAGCACCACCACUACCUCAGGAAGUCCACUGUCUGUGUGUCAACUCCCACUGUUACAGGACCACAAGUGUCUCAGCACUUCAACUAUCACAGCACUUCUACUGUUCAGGAGCUCAAGAGUCUCAGCAUCUCAAGUGUCACAGGACCUCCUUUGUCCAAGAACUGGACUGUCCAAGCAAUACUGCUAUUGCGGGACCUCCACUGUCACAGGAUUUCCACUGUAGGAGCACUACAACUGUCUCAGGACACCCACUGUCCUAUAACCUCCACUAUCCCAGGAAUUCCACUGUCGUAGCACCACCCGUAGCAACUAAAGUGUUUCAGGACAUCAACUGAAGCAAGAUCUCCCAUGAUUCUGCAACUUCACUGCCCCAGGAUCUCUACAGUGACAGGAAUACUUCUGUAUCAGCAAUUCCAAUUUUGCAGGACCUCCACUGUAGCAGAACCUCAAUUGUGCAGCAGCUCCCCUGUAUGUAGAUUGACCUCCACGAUCUCAGUGCCUCCACUUUCAAAGGACCUUCACUGUCACAGAACCGGCGCUAUUUCAGUGCCUCCACUGUCGCAGGACCUACCUCUUCACAGGAUCUGCACUGUUGCAGCAACUGUAAUUUCAAUUUUUCAAAGUCAUUGCUGGUUAUUAGAUUUCAGGCUGAAUGAAAUGAGAUGUUACUUUUGAAAGCAUAAGAAUUUGUUCUAUACCUCUUGUGAUAAAUGCCGUGUUUGCUAGGACCAGUAAACUAUGGAAGACUUCUUCAGCUCAUACCACUCUCCACCUCACUUUGUGGAAGCUGGUGUUUUUAGAGUGUGAUAAACUUCAGGUGAAUGGAUGCAUUCAGCUGCACCACGCUCUAGAGUGGACUACACAGCAGUCAUAUUGAGUCCUUGCUGGGAAGAGAAGAAAUCCAGAAGAAGGAGAAGGCUUGGGUUGGGGGAAGAAUCAUAAAAUACUUAGAGGAUAUUAGAAGGUAAGAAUUAUGGGGAACUGGAAAACAGAGCCAAAGGAAGAAUGAGCACAGAGCAAACUGGGAAGGACAAAGUACAAAGGCACUUGGGUUUUGCCAUCUGCGUGUUCUCUGGACAAUCUCCCUGGGCCACAUUUCUGGGAGAAAACUCUUCCCCCACCCCCUUGUAAGGUUUCAUUCUUGAAGGAAAGCAGCAACACAACUUCAUCAGUGAAUUUCCCCAUUGGAAUUGGUUCAUCCUUUAAUGCUUCUGGGAAAUCCCGAGCUGGGGAAUGUCCUGCUCUCUGCUGAGAGACAGCAGGAAAGUAGGUCGUCCUCUGUUUUCUCGUUGCUACAGCUCUUCUAAGUAUGGCUGAUUGUUGAGUGAAGACACAGGAUACUUCUGGUGUGUAUGUAUGCUUUGUUCACUGUGGGUGUUGUUGGGAGUGUCCUGAAAAGAAGGGCAUGCCCAAUGGCACUUCUGCUUCCUCUUUGACUAGCCUUAUGAUCAUAGGGAGACACUAGGCCAUUGGAAGAUGAGGAGAGCAAUGUGUCUAAGUUGUGUUCACUUCUAUUCCUAUUUAGUCCUAGAGGGAAAUCAGCAAGGGUGUGAGGAAUGCUGCUGUGCACUGACUGUGUGGUGUGAGGAAUGCUGCUGUGCACUGACUGUGUGGUGUGAGGAAUGCUGCUGUGCACUGACUGUGUGGUGUGAGGAAUGCUGCUGUGCACUGACUGUGUGGUGUGAGGAAUGCUGCUGUGCACUGACUGUGUGCUGUGAGGAAUGCUGCUGUGCAUUGACGCUGCCUUUUUUCUUUUCUCCCUACACCUGCAUCCUUCUGGUGGCUCAGGUUGGACAACUAGGUGCCCAUGACCAACUCCUCAUUGUGGAUGGAUUUAGUCUGGUUGGACUUUCUCAGGAAAGGCAGCUGAACUCAUGACUAGUACCAGUUCCACGGUUACCCUGGAAGUUGCAAAUCAAGACAUCCUCUCUCACUGCCUGUCCACCUUUCUUACCAACCCAUUGUCCUCCAUGGUGCAGAGAGCCUCUUACCACUUCCAAGGAAGAACUUCAGGAAGAGUUUUACCUACUUGAGCUCCAUUGAGUAGAGGCUGGCAAGGGUCUCUAGUGUGACAGUAAUAUGUGGAUCCAGAGCUCCUCAUUGGAAUCUGUGACAUCCAGACAGGAGCACCUGAACCCUUCCUCCAAGUCAGUUACCCCUGCUUCCACUCUGACUAAGAGUGGUCCUGGCCAUUGGGAAACCCCAGCAGAGGUGCUGGCCACCACUGUUACUGUCUCCCAGCCCAUAUGAACAGACCUCCCUCCACCACCUCCUCUACCACAGGUCCACUACACCAGAUUUUGGCGGCAUUUUAGUGGAUUUGCCCCUCCCACCACCUUCUGCAAACAAGGCAGGAUCCCAGUCUGUUCAGGUGGCUGCUGGCUAGCAAAAGAGAGUGAGGAGCAGCAGCGGUGGUCUGAGAUAUAGAAGGCCUGCCUGGACAAGGAAGCAGAGAGGAAGCACAGGGAGCAGGAGAGGAAUGGGUGACAGAUGCACUCUCAUUCCCUGAACCUGCUUCCUUCUCUUCUUUGACCACACCGACCAAACCAGGAAAACCUUCCACACUGCAGAGGCCCAAGAAACAGUCAUUCUGGUGUUGUAGUCCCCGCAGCAGCCCCCCACUAUUGAGCACAGGGAUCUGCAGUUCAUAACUAUCAGUAAAGAGGAGUUGUCCUCUGGGGAGUCUGUCUCCAGACCCAUGGAAACAAGAUGCCAGGGAGAAGCUGGAGAAGCAACAGCAAAUGCACCUUGUGGAUAUGCUAAGCAAGGAGAUCCAUGAGCUGCAAAACAAGGGGGACGGUAGUGCAGAGGAGAGUGACUGCCUGUGGAAGAAUAUGCUGGAGUGGCAGUUCCAGAAGAGACUUCAGACCAUAUUUCUUGUGUUUCUCCCAGGUUCAUUUCAGAAUACUGUUCAAGAAGCUCAACAUUUGUCGUUUACAUAGUAGAAAUUUAUAACAACAAUGUUUUUGCCCUUCUUGCCUUAGACAGUUCUACAGUGGUGUCUAUGGUUAAGUGCCAGGCAGUGAGAACCCAGGAGUGAUAUUCAGAGGUACAAAGGAUGACCUGCAGGUGUGUGCAGCCGUGCCAGUCUUGUUCACCAUGGGAUGGAAGCGGUCCCUGACCUGUGAGCCUAGAGGUGACCAGGUGCUCCAUUCUGAGACUGAGAGAGGCAGGAUGCCCACUCAAGGGUCCAUAGCAGGGAAGGUUUUCAAGCUAUGUACAGUGCUGGAAAAGCCUACACAGGGCAUACAGUUAGCAGUGAUGUGUUUGCAGGGAGUCCAAGGAACCAGCUUUGUACUGAUGCAGGCCUGUCAUCAGUGCCUUGGCGUUUGUGGGACUCAUCCACAGAGGCAUGCAACUCAGAGAACGGUACCCCAACUUGGUGCACAGGAACUCUUUCAGGUGUCACUUGAUUGUCACAGGUUUCUGCUCGGUCAGCAAGGAAGGGAAGCCUAGCCCUGUGCCAGGAAUGACUGCAUAUGGUCAACACACACUACCCUGGAAGACCCGAGAGUUCAAGGACGGCCAACUUUCACUUAAGCAAACUUGUCCACAGACUGCGUGGGUCCCAUCAGCUGAGAGUAGCCUCCACAUUGCAGUGAUGUGCAAACUUCUGCCUUUCAGCCAUGAUGGACUUUAGGAUCUAACCUGAGGACCCUACACAAGGCACAGGUAGGUGAUGUGUAAAUGAGGCAUGUUACUGGGUCAGGUCUUCAGUGCAGUGUCUUAAGCUGUCAGGCUUUUGGGAGGGCAUAUGCUUCUCUAUUAAAUGAGCUGGCUUCUCUGAAGGCCUCAACUCUGCUGUGUCUGCCGCUCAUGCUCCCUCCUCCAAGAAUCUAACUGUCCCUAGCUCUCUGUGACUGGCUGGUCAGUCAGCCUUCAUGCCACUCCACAGCCACUCUACAACACAGAGCCCACACUGUCCUCUGCAGAAGUUUCACAGGGCUGCUGCUUUAGUCUCUCUGUUGCGCUAUGGGGGUCCAAAGUCAAGUUUCUUAGGUCCCUAGGUGUCCCUGAAAAGGCUCUAGAACAAGGAAGAGGUGAAGAAAUCAGGAAAUAAACUCCUGCAGUACUUCAUGACUACCACUGGAGGGCUCUACACCUUUCUGGUCCUAGUGUGCCACUCAGCAAGCCCUCUCACUCACUCUAAGGUUCUGAGCCUGAUGGAGAGGACUCCUGCUAAACCCAGUGUUCCCAAGAAACUGGCUGUACCGGCAGGGCUAACUGUAGAGGAUUCUCCACGACCCUGAGAACACAAUUUGGAAAUCUCAGGUAGGCAGGGUGUGUGGGGGAGCAACCAGGGCUGGAUGGAGACCUUACCCAGAA
rnacentral:sRNA from 1 species